rnacentral:rRNA from 11 species
GACUCUCGGCAACGGAUAUCUCGGCUCACGCAUCGAUGAAGAACGUAGCAAAAUGCGAUACUUGGUGUGAAAUUGCAGAAUCCCGUGAACCAUCGAGUUUUUGAACGCAAGUUGCGCCCGAAGCCAUUCGGUUGAGGGCACGUCUGCCUGGGCGUCA